rnacentral:rRNA from 1 species
GACGUACGCUGGCGGCGUGCUUAACACAUGCAGGUCGAACGGAAAGGCCCUGCUUUUGUGGGGUGCUCGAGUGGCGAACGGGUGAGUAACACGUGAGUAACCUGCCCUUGACUUUGGGAUAACUUCAGGAAACUGGGGCUAAUACCGGAUAGGAGCUCCUGCUGCAUGGUGGGGGUUGGAAAGUUUCGGCGGUUGGGGAUGGACUCGCGGCUUAUCAGCUUGUUGGUGGGGUAGUGGCUUACCAAGGCUUUGACGGGUAGCCGGCCUGAGAGGGUGACCGGCCACAUUGGGACUGAGAUACGGCCCAGACUCCUACGGGAGGCAGCAGUGGGGAAUAUUGCACAAUGGGCGGAAGCCUGAUGCAGCAACGCCGCGUGCGGGAUGACGGCCUUCGGGUUGUAAACCGCUUUCGCCUGUGACGAAGCGUGAGUGACGGUAAUGGGUAAAGAAGCACCGGCUAACUACGUG